GCACCGCGACAGGGGCGUCCGGGCGACCGGGCUGAGAAGCACCCUUUGAACCUGAACCAGAUCAUGCUGGCGUAGGGAGUCCGCAAACCGGCUUGC
rnacentral:ncRNA from 1 species